AGAGUUUGAUCAUGGCUCAGAUUGAACGCUGGCGGCAUGCCUUACACAUGCAAGUCGAACGGUAACGCGGGCAAUCGCGCGACGAGUGGCGAACGGGUGAGUAAUGUAUCGGAACGUGCCCAGUUGUGGGGGAUAACUACUCGAAAGAGUGGCUAAUACCGCAUACGACCUGAGGGUGAAAGCGGGGGAUCGCAAGACCUCGCGCAAUUGGAGCGGCCGAUAUCAGAUUAGCUAGUUGGCGGGGUAAAAGCCCACCAAGGCGACGAUCUGUAGCUGGUCUGAGAGGACGACCAGCCACACUGGGACUGAGACACGGCCCAGACUCCUACGGGAGGCAGCAGUGGGGAAUUUUGGACAAUGGGCGCAAGUCUGAUCCAGCCAUGCCGCGUGCGGGAAGAAGGCCUUCGGGUUGUAAACCGCUUUUGUCAGGGAAGAAACGCUCUGGGAUAAUACCCUGGGGUAAUGACGGUACCUGAAGAAUAAG
rnacentral:rRNA from 1 species